GACGUAGGGCGCGAGCGUUGUCCGGAUUUAUUGGGCGUAAAGAGCUCGUAGGCGGCUUGGCGCGUCGACUGUGAAAACCCGAGGCUCAACUUCGGGCUUGCAGUCGAUACGGGCAGGCUUGAGUUCGGUAGGGGAGACUGGAAUUCCUGGUGUAGCGGUGAAAUGCGCAGAUAUCAGGAGGAACACCGGUGGCGAAGGCGGGUCUCUGGGCCGAUAUUGACGCUGAGGAGCGAAAGCGUGGGGAGCAAACGGG
rnacentral:rRNA from 1 species